rnacentral:rRNA from 1 species
GAGUAACGCGUGGGUAACCUGCCUUAUACAGGGGGAUAACAGUCAGAAAUGGCUGCUAAUACCGCAUAAGCGCACAGAGCUGCAUGGCUCAGUGUGAAAAACUCCGGUGGUAUAAGAUGGACCCGCGUUGGAUUAGCUAGUUGGUGGGAUAACGGCCCACCAAGGCGACGAUCCAUAGCCGGCCUGAGAGGGUGAACGGCCACAUUGGGACUGAGACACGGCCCAGACUCCUACGGGAGGCAGCAUG